rnacentral:lncRNA from 13 species
CCCCCAUCCCGUCCCUACAGGGCUCCCAGGCCCGGACCUGCGCUGUGCGUGGCCCUCGCCAAAGCUGUCGUUCGGGCUAUUAAUAUUUGCUAUGAAACAAAGACACCCCAAAUUCAGUGGCUUAAAACAACCCUUUUAAUCUCCCACAUUUCUGAGUCCUUCUGACCCACGUGGUGUCUACUGGGGCUGCUGCUUCUGCGGCUCGGCAGGCUGGCAGGCACCGCACGGGGCUGGCCCUCCACGGGCUGGCCUCCCAGCCAGCAGAGACCUCCUUUUUCUUUGUUUUUGGGAAGUGUACCUGGUCCUCAGGUCUUCUGCAGCUCACAGGGAUUGACAUGAUCCUUCCCCAGGAUUUUUCUGCUGUAGGCAGUGGAAAGACUGUCUCUUCCCAUGGGGUCGCCUUCCGGGAAGAUUGUGACUCCAGGCUGCCAGCAGAAUGGCUCACCGGAGCAUGGUUUGAGGGAAAGAAGUAGAGACUUGACUUCUGACACUCACGACCAAGGCUGCUGCCACACUGGAAUAGGAUGGAAAGAGGGUGAGUAAAAACCACCACAAAACUUUUCUAUCAUUUUUCACGUGGCUUUUUUUUUUUGAUUAGAUGUUUUCUUAGGAGCUGUAACCUUUGAUAAUUCUCCAGAGCUUAUGCGAAGUUGGCUCAUACAGUUUUUGGGCGUGUUUCUGUGGAAAAAUGAGAGCUUGGAGUCUCCUCAUUGGUCAUUUUACUGACAUCCUGCCUGUGGACAUAUUUUAAAACAAAGUGCUAUUAUGAAAAACAGACUGUUGAAAUAGGAAGAAACUGCAUACUAUUUAUUAGACACACUUCAAAUAUAACAGAACUACUGCUAAAAGCAAAACCAUGGAAAACACAUACCAUGUAAACAGGAAGCACAAGAGAGCUGGUGUGGUUGUAUUAAUCUCAAAGUAGAUUAAUAAUAAAAAACAUUCCCAAAGGUAAGGAGGGGUAUCU